AAAGUCUGGAGAGACUCGACAGAAACUGCGUGCGUACGUGCCAUUUACAGUAGGCAGAAUUUGAUAGCUGUCACAGAAAGAUCGCACAGGGAUUUGAGUCCUGGGUGGAUCACGCGAGUCGCAUUUCUUGAAGCUUUGGGUUAGGUGUAAGGCGUCCUUGGGCCAUCUUGGACAAAAUCAAAAUCAAAUACUACAGUGAUUUUUUGUUCAAAUAAGCUCUAGAAUGUAACUUCUAUUCUUCCUUGAUGGAUGAUUCACGUCGACGAAUGUGAAAUUACUCGUCGCGAAUCUUGUCUGGUUAUAGUCGUUUGUCACGUUUCCCUUUCGUAUUGUGGUUUAGGUAGUCUUUUCUCGGACGGC
rnacentral:pre_miRNA from 1 species